rnacentral:rRNA from 1 species
AGAGUUUGAUCCUGGCUCAGGAUGAACGCUGGCGGCGUGCCUAACACAUGCAAGUCGAGCGGAGAUCUUGGAAGUAGCAAUACGGAAGAGAUCUUAGCGGCGGACGGGUGAGUAACACGUGAGGAACCUACCUUCAACUGGGGAAUAACACCGUGAAAACGGUGCUAAUACCGCAUAACGUUGCACCAUGGCAUCAUGGAGCAACCAAAGGAGCAAUCCGGUUAAAGAUGGCCUCGCGUCCGAUUAGUUAGUUGGUGGGGUAAUGGCCUACCAAGACAGCGAUCGGUGGCCGGACUGAGAGGUCGAUCGGCCACAUUGGAACUGAGAAACGGUCCAGACUCCUACGGGAGGCAGCAGUGGGGAAUAUUGGGCAAUGGGCGAAAGCCUGACCCAGCAACGCCGCGUGAAGGAAGAAGGCCUUCGGGUUGUAAACUUCUUUGAUCGGGGACGAAAAAAAUGACGGUACCCGAAAAACAAGCCACGGCUAACUACGUGCCAGCAGCCGCGGUAAUACGUAGGUGGCGAGCGUUAUCCGGAUUUACUGGGUGUAAAGCGUGCGCAGGCGGUUAUAUAAGACAGAUGUGAAAUCCCCGGGCUCAACCUGGGAACUGCAUUUGUGACUGUAUAGCUAGAGUACGGUAGAGGGGGAUGGAAUUCCGCUUGUAGCAGUGAAAUGCGUAGAUAUGCGGAGGAACACCGAUGGCGAAGGCAAUCCCCUGGACCUGUACUGACGCUCAUGCACGAAAGCGUGGGGAGCAAACAGGAUUAGAUACCCUGGUAGUCC